AUUAUUGGUGUCGACAAUGUCGCUAAUGAGGAAGAAUAUGACCAGUUUGAUGAUCUACCACCAUUUUCAGUCGGUAUUCAACCAGGUAAUUACAGGAUUGAAGGCACCACAUACUUACGAUCUGACCACACGGAAGGGACGUAUUGCUGAUAAACCACAUCAAACUAAAUGAUCAAGGAUAGACAAUGAUGAAGAUAAGCCAUGUGAUAGAUGAUCUCAUUUUUAUUGGACUUUUUCUAGUGGAAACUUAGUAAAAGAUUGUUAUUUUGUGUCUAA